CUACGGGCGGCUGCAGUCGAGAAUAGUCUACAAUGGACGAAAGUCUGACAGUGCGACGCCGCGUGGAUGAAGAAGCAUUUCGGUGUGUAAAGUCCUUUUCUGUGUGAGCAAUGUUUUCCAGGUUAAUAGCUUGGAGAAAGCGAUGUUAACACAGGAAUAAGCUCCGGCUAACUCCGUGCCAGCAGCCGCGGUAACACGGGGGGAGCAAGCGUUGUCCGGAAUUACUAGGCGUAAAGGGUAAGUAGGCGGAAUUGUAAGUCAGAUGUUAAAGGCACCGGCUCAACCGGUGUAUGGCGUUGAUACUGUAAUUCUAGAGUAAGGUGGGGGAAGACGGAAUUCCUGGUGUAGCGGUGGAAUGCGCAGAUAUCAGGAGGAACACCAGAGGCGCAGGCGGUCUUCUAUACCAUUACUGACGCUCAAUUACGAAGGUGUGGGUAUCAAACAGGAUUAGAUACCCCUGUAGUC
rnacentral:rRNA from 1 species